rfam:Erinaceus europaeus unplaced genomic scaffold scaffold00211, whole genome shotgun sequence
CCCCCUGGCAUUGUGCAAAGAGACACCUCAUUAGUGGUGUCUUAUAUCAGUUUAGGGCAGGGCAGAUGCAUUCCUUUGUUCAUCCUAGCUUGAUGCCUGGAUCAGUGGCCAGAGCUGCUUCAUGCCUGGGCACAUUA